CCACACACUCCACCAUUUUCAUCCUUUGGAAGCUUGUUUGAAAGCUAGGAGUUGUGAGCUUCCUCUUCUAAGGUACUAAAAUGAGGUGGUGAAGGAAGAUACUCAUUGGAUUGGCAAAGUGAAAAUAUGGAUUAGAUAUAGCACACUCUUUAAUUUCAAAUAUUAUAGGGUUAUGGAAGAAGGAAACGGUGGAAAAAAAAUUUUAUGCAAAGGACAAGCAUGAUUUGUCUAGUUUUGGCUGGAGAAAGGCAAGCUCCAUGAGUAUCUUGUGUGCACACAUUAUUUUGAUGUUGACGAGGGGAAAGAAGAUAAUCAAGUAUCAC